rnacentral:lncRNA from 1 species
AAAAUAAAGAUUCUAUGAACAUGUCUUUUGGUGGACAUAAACCUCAUUACAUACCAAGAAGCUGAGUUGCAAGGUGAUAGGGUAUACUUAUGUUUAGCUAUACUGGGUACUGCAAGAUAGUUUCCAACUAAAAUCUUCCAUCAUCAGUGUAAGAGAGUACAAGUAGCUCUAUAUCCACACCGGCACUUGCUAUGGUAAGUGUUUUUACAUUUAGUUAUUCUAGUUGGUGGGUCAUGGUAUUUCACCGUGUUUAAUUUGCAUUUCUCUAAGAACUAGUGACAGUGAGCAUCUUUGCAUUUAUUCAACAUUUUUAAACUCACUUUGUGAAGUGUCUAUUCAAGUCGUUUCUUGUUGUUGUUUUUUUUUUUAAUUCGGUUAUGUGUAACUAAAAAACCAUUUGUAGGAUUCCUUCGUGUAGCCUAGCUGUGAGUUCUUUUGUCAGGUAUUCAUUAUGCAUAUCUUCUUUCAGUCUAUGGCUUAUAGAUUUUCUUUCGUUCUUUCUUAUUUCCUGAACAAAAGACUGAUUUUUAAUUCUGUGCAAUUUAUAGCUUUUGCAAUUGUUUUAUAUUCUGUUAAAAAUCAUAGCCUCUCUGAUUUCUUGGGAGCAUUUUCCAAUUUGUUUUUCAAGCUUGAUUGUUUCAGGUAUGUGAUUUAUCUCAAAUUAAUUAUUUGCAUGCUUAAAAUUAAGGUAAUUGUUUUCCUUUCAUAUAGGUAUUCAAUUGACCCAGCACCAUUUAUUGAAAAGGCUAUCCUCUUACUGAAAUGCAGCAAAGUUGUUGUCUUAAAUCAGGUCAUCAAACAUUUGAUUUCAAGUGCAGAAUCAAAGACAUAUAACCAUAAUAAAAUGCAAAAUCACAAGCCCUCAGAAUCAGAAGGGAUGUCAAGGAAAAUGCCUUCCCUCUCUCCACCUCUCUGAAUGCAGAACACUGAAGCUUCUGUGCAUCUGGUGAGCACGUGGUACAGAAUUGCAAGUUUCAUGAGCCCUGAUUAACUUCUCAUAGAGGCUGGCUGUGUUAGACUUUUGCUAAGGCCAAGAGUUUUAUUUUGUUCUAUCCUAUUUCAUUAUUAUAAAAAUCUGGAGAGUUGCUUAUUAUUAUGAACUCCUGUUUGAAGAUAUGGAAAUGAGGAAAAUGAAGACCUAUGGUACUUUUUUAAAAGUGAUACUAUAAAUAAGGAAUAAAAUGUGAAGUUGUGUGGUUGCCUGGAGUUCUUCUGCUUCCCUCAUCCAUAUCAACACAUACAAAUAAAUAAACUCCUGAGUACAUUCAUAUUCUAGGUAUUAAUACUGUUUCACCAAUUAUACACAGCAAGCUCAACAUAGCCAUCUUUCUUCAUCCAUAAUUUUUUCAGUGAUAAAUUUUCGUCAGUGAUGAAAGGCUCAGCUGGAAAAUUCUGCUUAAGAUCUCUCACAUAAUUGUAGUUAGAUAUUGG